rnacentral:misc_RNA from 1 species
AACGCACAUUGCGCCCUUCGGUUAUUCCUUAGGGCAUGCCUGUUCGAGCGUCAUUUCAACCUUCAAGCACAGCUUGGUGUUGGGCGUCUUUGUCCCGCCUUCGCGCGCGGACUCGCCCCAAAUGGAUUGGCAGUCGCAACCACCGAGCCGCGAGCGCAGCACAAGUCGCGCGAGCUGGCGAGUGGUAGGGACGCUCCACGAGACCUUUUUACAAAGUCUUGACCUCGGAUCAGGUAGGGAUACCCGCUGAACUUAA